rnacentral:rRNA from 1 species
CCGGGUGAGUAACGCGUAUCCAACCUGCCGUCUACUCUUGGACAGCCUUCUGAAAGGAAGAUUAAUACAAGAUGGCAUCAUGAGUCCGCAUGUUCACAUGAUUAAAGGUAUUCCGGUAGACGAUGGGGAUGCGUUCCAUCAGAUAGUAGGCGGGGUAACGGCCCACCUAGUCUUCGAUGGAUAGGGGUUCUGAGAGGAAGGUCCCCCACAUUGGAACUGAGACACGGUCCAA